rnacentral:rRNA from 1 species
CCUGUGCGGCGAGCACGCGCGCGCGGGCGCGGUCCCGACCUAGCCGCGCGCGGCGCGGUGGGUCGCGACGCGGCAUGGCUCGGCUCGGUGCGCACCGGGUGCCCGCGUCGAUGCCCGAGUCAACGGGACGCCGAUUGCAUCCCGCGUCGUGCCGCGGCUGGGGCGCCCCGUCGAGCCACGCCGGCGUCGCGCGCACGGCGGCACAAUCGGCCGGCGUCACAAACAGCUGGCCGCGCGGGCGCCGGCAUGAGCGCCGUCGCCCGCCUGCACGUCGCAUCGCGCCGCUCAAGCGCUCGCCGCGUCCGUUUCGGUGCGCCGUUCGUUGUGCGUUUCGGCCCGCGCCCAUCCGCCGUCGGCGGGACUGAACCACAGAUGGACGUGCCCGGUGCCGAUGCCGUUCUCGUACUCGCUGAAGCGGCGUGCACGCGCCGCGCACGCGCGCGCGCCGAGCGCGCCCGCCAUCAUCAGGUAGUGGCCGAAGUUCGCCUCCGGCGCGAAGCGCAGGAAUUCCGGCAUCGCGUCGAUCACCCGGUCGUGCCGCCCUUGCUCGAGCCACGCGAUCCGCCGCUCGUCCGCCGCGCGCGCGGCGGGCGUGACGAUGUUCGACGCCGCGCCCGCCAUCCGCCCGCGCAGCUCGGCGAGCGGCCAGAACGCAUGCGACAGGCCGCCCGACGCGACGAGCAGCACCUUGCGCUCGAGCUGCGCGAUCGCCUGCGCGACGGUUUCGCCCAUCCACAGGAAAUCCUCGGUCGUCGCGGUCUGGCACACGGAGACGGAAAGCCAGCGUUUGUCCGGGCGGCCGAGAUAGGUCCACGGAUUGAGCGUCGCGUAGUGCAGCGGCAGGCACGGGUCGUCCACCGCGUCGAUCCACGACGCACGCCGCCGCGCCUGCUCGGCGAUCGCAUGCGCGAGCGCCGGGUCGCCCGCCAGAUCGUAUGGCAGUUGCCGGAUCGCGUUCGGCAUCUCGUCCGACGUGAAGCGGCCCGCGCGCCGCGCAUGCGCGGUGACCACCGCUUCGGUCGUCGUGAGCCAAUGGCUGUCGAAAACGAGCACCGUAUCGUAAUCGUGCGCGUCGAACACGUCGCGCCGCAACCGGGCGAGGCCGGUUGCGAGCGUGAAGUCCCGGCCGCCGUUUUCGCGCAGCCGCACGGCCUGCGGCAUCAUCACGACGGGCGCGUGCGAAAUGAGCCCGGCGCCGACGAUCUUUCCCAUGGAUUAGGCCUCCUGUUCGAUGAACGAGUGAAUGAGCGGGCGAGCGGCGGGGGCUCACGGCACGAGCAGCAGCUUGCCGGUCGUGCGGCGCGCCGCGAGAUCCGCGUGCGCGCGACGCGCGUCGGCGAGCGGAUACGCGCCGCCGAUCCGGAUCUUCAGCGAGCCGUCGAGAAUGCCGUCGAACACCGCGCCGGCGCGCCACAGGAAUUCGUCGACGCUCGCGCGGAAAUGCUCGAGAUACGGCCGCGUGAGCGUGAGCGAGCCGCCCCACAGCAGCCGCAUCACAUCGACGGGCGGCACCGGGCCGCUCGCGCCGCCGAAGAUCACGAGCGUGCCGCGCGUCCUGAGGCUCGCGAGGCUCGCGUCGAACGUCGCCGCGCCGAUGCCGUCGUACACCGCAUGCACGCCGCGGCCGUCCGUCAGCCGGCGCACUUCGGCGGCCAGAUCGUCGAACGCGCCAUGAAGCACCACGUCGUCCGCGCCGUUGCUGCGCGCGAGCGCCGCCUUCCCGGCGGUCGACACAGUGCCGAUCACCCGCACGCCGCGCCGCUUGAGCCACUGCGUGAGCAGCAGCCCGACGCCGCCCGCCGCCGCGUGAACGAGCACGACGUCGCCUUCGCGGGCGCGAUACGAAUCGUUGACGAGAUAGUGCGCGGUCAUGCCCUGCACGAGCGCGGCGGCGGCCGUGCGCAGGUCGAUCCCGUCCGGCACGGCGAUCGCCUUGUCCUCGGGCACCACCACGCGCGUCGCGUAGCUGCCCAUCACGGUCGUCCACGCGACGCGAUCGCCGGGCUUGAAACGCGUGACGUCCGGCCCGACCGCGAGCACGCGCCCGGCGCCCUCCUCGCCCGGCGUGCCGGGCAGCGGCAUCGGAUAGCGGCCCUCGCGGCGAUACAGAUCGAUGAAAUUCACGCCCGCCGCGGCGAGCUCGACGAGCAGCUCGCCGCGGCCCGGCUCGCGCGCGGCGCGCGUCACGUACUCGAGAACGUCGGGGCCGCCCGUCUCGCGGAUUUCGAUGGCUUGCAUCAGUUCACUCCAAAUGUUCGUCAAGGGAUCAGCCCGCCGGCACGCCGUCGAGCUCGACACGAUAGAGAUCGAGCCAGUCGUUGAGCCGGCUGCUCGACUCCAGCAGGAUUCGUUCGAAUUCCGAAAGGCUGCCGGCGGCGGUCUUCUCGGUCAGGCCGCGCAGCGCGCCGGCGUCGAUGAACGGUUCGAGCGGCGCGCGGCCGGCCGCGAUCGCGCGAUUGAGGCGCUCGAUCAGGCCGCGGUCAUAGCCCGGCGCCUGAAUCGACGGAUACGCGGCCUUCUUGCGGUUCAGCACCGAUUCGGGCAGCAGAUCGGCCGCCGCCGCGCGCAGCAGCGCCUUCUCCUGGCCGCUGAACGUCUUCAUCGCCCACGGGAUGUUGAACACAUACUCGACGAGCCGGUGAUCGCAGAACGGCACGCGCCCCUCGAGGCCGCUUGCCAUCCCCAUCCGGUCCUUCUUGUCGAGCAGCACCGGCAGCCAGCGCGUGAGCGUCAGGUAAUGCAGCUCGCGCGUGCGGCGGUCCUCCGCGUUCUCGCCGUCGAGGCGCGGCACUUCGGCGAGCGCCGCGCGGUAGAGCUGUGCUUCGUAUUCGCCGAGUCGCAGCGCAUCG